GUUAGCUCAGUUGGUAGAGCAUCUGACUUUUAAUCAGAGGGUCACUGGUUCGAGCCCAGUA
rnacentral:tRNA from 4 species